CAAUAGCGUAUAUUAAAGUUGUUGCAGUUAAAGAGCUCGUAGUUGAAUUUUUGCUUGCCGCCGAUGUCGGAACUUCCGUACGUUCGGCGGCGUGCAUCCUUGGGUGGAACCUGUGUGGCAUUAGGUUGUCGUGCAGGGGAUGCUCAUCGUUUACUGUGAAAAAAUUAGAGUGUUCAAAGCAGGCUUACGCCGUUGAAUAUAUUAGCAUGGAAUAAUAAGAUAGGACCUUGGUACUAUUUUGUUGGUUUGCGCACCGAGGUAAUGAUUAACAGGGACAGUUGGGGGUAUUCGUAUUCCAUUGUCAGAGGUGAAAUUCUUGGAUUUCUGGAAGACGAACUACUGCGAAAGCAUUUACCAAGGAUGUUUUCAUUAA
rnacentral:rRNA from 1 species